rnacentral:snoRNA from 1 species
CCCCUCUCAGGGUCGCACCUGGAGAGUUUCCAGUCUCUGCCAGUCUCGAUUAAGGGAGGGAGAGUCGAGCAGAGGCCUGCCCAUUCCAUUCCUGGCUUGGCCAGUGGCGAGCGAGUGGAAGGCCAUCUGCUACAAGU